ACCUACUGGGCAGGGAGCCGC
rnacentral:antisense_RNA from 1 species